rnacentral:rRNA from 1 species
CCUACGGGUGGCAGCAGUGGGGGAUAUUGCACAAUGGGGGAAACCCUGAUGCAGCGACGCCGCGUGGGUGAAGGAGUAUUUCGGUGUGUAAAGCUCUAUCAGCAGGGAAGAAGAUGACAGGUACUGACCUAAAAGCCCCCGCCAACUACGUGCCCGCCGCCGGGGGAAAACCUAGGGGGCAAGCGUUAACCGGAUUUUACGGGUGUAAAGGGGGCGUAGACGGUAAUGGAAGGCUGGAGUGAAAGCCCGGGGCCCAACCCCGGGACUGCUUUGGGAACUGUGUAACUGGAGUGCAGGAGGGGCAGGCGGAAUUCCUGGUGUAGCGGUGAAAUGCGUAGAUAUCAGGAGGAACACCGGCGGCGAAGGCGGCCUGCUGGACUGAAACUGACGUUGAGGCCCGAAAGCGUGGGGAGCAAACAGGAUUAGAUACCCGGGUAGUC